UACGAAGGGGGCUAGCGUUGUUCGGAAUCACUGGGCGUAAAGCGCACGUAGGCGGAUUUUUAAGUCAGGGGUGAAAUCCCACGGCUCACCCGUGGAACUGCUGGGCAUACUGGCGAUCUUGGGCCAACUAGGGCAGCCGGAACAAACGGUGGGAGCGGUGAAAUGCGUAGAUAUCGUUUGGAACGCCAAUGGUGAAAACAGGUUGCUGGGGUGUGCUGACGCUGAGACACGAAAGCCAGGGGAGCGAACGGG
rnacentral:rRNA from 1 species